AUGAUAUGGAGUGCAGCACAUUUCCUAAAAUUGGAAUGAUACAGAGAAGAUGAGCAUGGCCUCUGUGCAAGGAUGUGACACGCAGAUUCGUGAAGUGUUCCAUAUUUUU
ensembl:snRNA U6 U6 spliceosomal RNA